ACUGUAACUAUCUCCACCAUGAAACAUAGAGUAAGAACACAAUUGAAACCAGGAAUCUUUUGCCAUCAUCAAAGCAUCGUAAGCAAUCAUUGGUGCAUCAUGACCACUGGACCCACUCCAACCUGCAUAACUCACAGAUUUAUAAAAAGCAUCACGUUCAGAUCUCUCACAUUAUGAUGAGCCUAAUUACGUAAUAGCAACAUGAUACAGAUUAUGACUGCUGUAGUGCAGAGACAAAAUAAAAAAUAACAAUAGCAAACUCAACUUUCACCAUACGCCAGACGGAAAGAACUUGUGGAAAAGUGGAAAAAAGAUGGAUCACAGACAUGGUUAUUAAAAACAAAAAAAAUAUUAGAAGGAUGGAGACAUUUUAGAUCGAGUUGUGGGUCUGGGUUUAGAUAUAUGAACAAGCAAAAAACUCUCGAUAAGUACGUUCGUUCUUGUGUUGUACAAUACACUCCGUUUCGCUCACAUACGUCUUACAACUGACUCGCUUCUCUCACUCUCUCUCAACUAUCACUCCACUCUCUCUCCACUCACUUCUCUCACUCUCUCUCAACUAUCAUUCCCUACUCUUGACGUCAUUACUGAUAUUUCGUGCAUGUUACUAACAAAUAAUAAAUGAUGUCCUUAUCAGUUUCUGACAUUCCGCGACGCUCAGAUUUUUCAGCUUAAAUUGAGCAAUGUUUUUCUUUUUGCUGAUUUUGUUAACAAUAUUUUACGAAGAAAUAGAAAACUUGAACUAAAUA